rnacentral:lncRNA from 1 species
GGAUACUCCAAGAAAAAACCAAGUACACGGCCACCACAGCCAGCUCGCUUAGCUCAUAUUUUUGCCAUCAACUUUACAUGAUAGACACCAGAAUGAAGACGGCUGGGCCCCCACGGUCCACGCUGUGUCCCUGCAGCUGUGUUUGUUCACUGUGCUGACUAUACAUGGGGCAGGUCACUGUCACGACAUUCCUAGAGGAAGUUUUUAAAUUAGUAUUCCAUCUCAUGGAGGAGGAAGUCGUGCCUUUGAGAGAUUACCAAGGCUGCUCAAGGCCAUUCAGUUGGCCCCACAGCACCAAAGUGAGCAGAAACUAUCCUUGGCCACGAAAAGGAGGGUAUAGCAUACUGAGCACAUACUACUCGGAUAGUGUCCUUCCAAGGCUUCCUGUUCUGUGUAGCAGCUGGAGUUCCCAGGUGACCAGAUGGUGAAAAGAGCUUUUGCUGGAUGGCAGAGCAAAGGCGCAGCCAGGACGUAUCAGCGCUAGUUUGUGCAACUGACCAAUUCUGCAUCAGAAGGCUGCGGUGGUUUCUCACUGGGGGUGGCGGGGGGCAAGGGUGCGGGAAGGAGGACCUGGGACAGCUCCUAGACACAAAGUAGAGUGGCUAGGUUCUCAGGCAUAGACACUGGCAGGCGAGGGCCUCCCAUGGUCCUCUCACACUAGGUUUAGCAAUCAUUUUGUGGAGUCCACACCAAAAGUUAGUUCGGGGUUAAGCUGGUAGGGGGCUAUGAAGGUGGUAAGCAUCCUUCACACCAAAAGAGAUCUAAAGUUUAUAGAAACUGUCCCCCCUCCCCCCGACACCCUGUUCCCCCAACAACCGCACUGACAUAUUCUCUCAUAUCUUCUGGGUCAGAGGCAGAUGUCCUAUUCCCAUACUCCAUAGCCAUGGCCAAGAAUCGAAAGGAAGUGGAUCAUGAGACCUGUUAAGAAGCCUCAGAUUUAAAUCCAUAAGGUCUUUUGUUGGGCGAGACCAAGGGAUGAUCCAGAAGGAGCAGAGAACUUAGGAGUGUGUGCUCUGCACUCAGACUGCCAGGGCUCAAAUUCCGGUUCCCUCUCACUACCUCUGCAAUCUUAGACCAGUCACGUAACCUCUCUGUGCCUCAUGCUCCUCACCUGUAAAAUGGGGAAAACCAAGCGCCCACCUCACCAGGCUGCUGUGGAAAUGAAAC